UCCUGAUGUUUAUGACUCAUGCAAGUAAGUCCUCUAUUUUCAAUUGGUACUGGGAUGUGAUCAUAUUAGUCAUGAAUAAGGAAGUAUGAUAUGUUACCUAACUAAUUACCAUUUCCAAAAUUUUUCCUCGAGUAGAAUCACUUGUUGUACUAAGCUUAAUUAAGUUUCUAGGCUUACCAACUUAAAUGAAAUUAUGGUUGUUUAAAAGUUGUUGCUUCUUGUAUUGUUCCAAGUUGCCGCCACAUGUUGCAUUUCUCUCCUAACAUCAUUUUCAUUACCUUCCAGUGAUCUGAUGACUAGCGUUAAUUUGGAUCAUUCUUUGAGAUAAUCCCUAGUGUAUAGAUAAUCCAGGAGUACUAACCUUUAGUUUUUCAACUAUUUUACUUCUUAACAACGCUUAUGUAAAUGGUGAAGUGCUUGUGGGAAACGUGGAAUGUAAACUUCAAAGUCUUUAAUUUGACUUGGAGGAGACCUAAAUUGACUUGGAGGA
rnacentral:misc_RNA from 1 species